CCGCGUGAGCGAUGAAGGCCUUCGGUUGUAAAGCUCUGUGGGGAGGGAAGAAUAAGGUCCACCUAAUACGUGGACCGAUGACGGUACCUCCUAGCAAGCACCGGCUAACUCUGUGCCAGCAGCCGCGGUAAGACAGAGGGUGCAAACGUUGUUCGGAAUUACUGGGCGUAAAGCGCGUGUAGGCGGCUUUGCAAGUCGGGCGUGAAAUCCCAUGGCUCAACCAUGGAAGUGCACUCGAAACUGCAGAGCUAGGGUCCUGGAGAGGAAGGUGGAAUGCUUGGUGUAGAGGUGAAAUUCGUAGAUAUCAAGCGGAACACCGGUGGCGAAGGCGGCCUUCUGGACAGUGACCGACGCUGAGACGCGAAAGCGUGGGGAGCAAACAGGAUUAGAUACCCUGGUAGUCCACGCCGUAAACGAUGAGUGCUAGGUGUCACGGGCUUUGACCCUCGUGGUGCCGAAGCUAACGCGUUAAGCACUCCGCCUGGGGAGUACGGCCGCAAGGCUA
rnacentral:rRNA from 1 species